CAGAAGAUCACCCUGCGCUGGCACAAAGCAGAAAUGUAAAAUGUCAGCAGCGGUGGUUGUUCUUAUUGGUGGAAUACCAGAUGAAUACAGGCAUAGGAGCUACAUUUGUUCAUCUGAAAGUCGCAAGCUUCUGGAGACUUCUUUCCUGCGGAAAGAUUUCUAUAACAGCUGACGAUGCUGAACAUGUUCCUUAGCUCCUUCCCAUGACAAAGGAAAGAAGGAGACUUCGUAGGAUUUGGGUGAAGAACAAAGAAAACAAUGCAUGCUGUGCCAGAUGCCCGGGAGCCUAGUAUGGUGCCCGGCACAUCGGAGGCAUCCACCAACAGGUCGCUGCUGUAUUUCCGGGAGACCCGCACCCCAGUCCUCCGUUGCACUGGGGUCCACAACCUUGGACACCAACACAAGAUUGGGAACGAGUCUCGGAGCUGGCAGCAGGAUGAAAAUUCCCCACAUCAAAGCCAGCCAGUAGAGAAUUCGAGGCAGCAGGUAGUUACCGGAAAGAUCCCUGGUCUAGAUUUUGGGGAAUCGUGGCAUCUAGCCUAGACCCCGCCAGCACCCAGUUGUGUGGCUUCAGGCCCUGCGCUAUAGACCAUAUGGUAAUUACAGCUAUCGUCUUUUAUUACCUGCUCCAUGCAAUGCACACACCCACCCAAUAUCACCUUCAACAUUUCAGUGGAAUGGAGCGUAUAUCAUUCGUGAGAAAAAUCCACAGGAAUCUUGAGUGCAUUGGAUGAGAACUUCCCAUCUGUUGUAUGAAAACCACAAUCUAGUUAUCCAUUCUACGAUCGAUGGACUGAAAAGCAGAUGGGGAUAUGGAGGAAAGACCAUGUGAGGACACAGCAAGGCAGCCAUCGCAGGCAAAGAAGAGAGGUCUGAGAAGAAACCAAACCUCCAACAUGUUGAUCUUAGACAUCUGGCCUCCAGAACUGUGAGAAAAUCCAUUUCUGCUGUUUAAGCCAUCCCAUCUGUGAUCUUUCCUUAUGGUGGCCCUAGCAAAUGAGUACAACUUUAUAGAGGGAAAUUAAGGACUACACAAAUAAAUGGAAGGAUAGACCAUGUUCAUGGAUUAGAAGACUCAAUAUUGAUAAGACGUCAUUUCUCCCCAAACUGCACAACUGAUGCACCACAAUCAUAAUAAAAAGUCCAACAGGGGGCUGGCCCCGUGGCCGAGUGGUUAAGUUCACGCACUCCGCUGCAGGCGGCCCAGUGUUUCGUUGGUUCGAAUCCUGGGCGCGGACAUGGCACUGCUCAUCAAACCACGCUGAGGCAGCGUCCCACAUGCCACAACUAGAAG
rnacentral:lncRNA from 1 species